rnacentral:ncRNA from 1 species
UAGCUUUUUUAUUAGUUGUAAGCAAAAUUACACAUGCAAAAAUCCCUGAGCCAGUGAGAAUGCCCUUUAAAUCACAUUGAUAUAAAGGAGCGGGUAUCAAGUACACACUUAGGUAGCUCAUUACACCUUGCUUAACCACACCCCUACGGGAAACAGCAGUGAUAAAAAUUAAGCUAUAAACGAAAGUUUGACUUAGUUAUGCAAUACAAUUAGGGUUGGUAAAUUUGUGCCAGCCGCCGCGGUCAUACGAUUAACCCAAAUUAAUAAACAUCGGCGUAAAGAGUGUUUACGAUUAUAAUCUAACUAAGAUUAAAUUCUAUUUAUGCUGUAAAAAGCCACAAAUAGAAUCAAACUCAAUAAACGUAAGUAAUCUUAUUAUAUCUGAACACACGAAAGCUAAGAUUCAAACUGGGAUUAGAUACCCCACUAUGCUUAGCUGUAAACACAAAAUAUUGAAUAUAACAAAAGAUUUCGCCAGAGGACUACUAGCUAUGGCUAAAAACUCAAAGGACUUGGCGGUGCUUCACAUCCACCUAGAGGAGCCUGUUCUGUAAUCGAUAAACCCCGAUAAACCUCACCACUUUUUGCCAAUACAGCCUAUAUACCGCCAUCUUCAGCAAACCUUAACAAAGAAUAAAAAUAAGCACAAUCAUAAUCGUAAAAACGUUAGGUCAAGGUGUAGCCAAUAAAGUGGGAAGAAAUGGGCUACAUUUUCUUCAUAAGAACAUACAACGAAAACUAUUAUGAAAUCUAAUAGUCUAAGGAGGAUUUAGUAGUAAAUUAAGAAUAGAGCGCUUAAUUGAAUAAGGCCAUGAAGCACGC